CCUACGGGUGGCAGCAGUGAGGAAUAUUGGUCAAUGGGCGAGAGCCUGAACCAGCCAAGCCGCGUGAAGGAAGAAGGCGCCAAGCGUCGUAAACUUCUUUUGUCGGGGAACAAAGGGCGCCACGUGUGGCGUUGUGAGUGUACCCGAAGAAAAAGCAUCGGCUAACUCCGUGCCAGCAGCCGCGGCAAGACGGAGGAUGCGAGCGUUAUCGGGAUUUAUGGGGGUUAAGGGGUGCGUAGGCGGUCCGGAAAGUGAGUGGUAAAAGCCCGGGGAUCAACCCCGGCGAGCCGUUGAAACUGUCGGACUAGAGAAGGCGAGAAGUACGCGGAAUGCGCGGUGUAGCGGUGAAAUGCAUAGAUAUCGCGAAGAACUCCGAUGGCGAAGGCAGCGUACCGGCGCCGGACUGACGCUGAGGCACGAAAGCGUGGGGAGCGAACAGGAUUAGAUACCCCAGUAGUC
rnacentral:rRNA from 1 species